rnacentral:lncRNA from 1 species
CUGGUCCUCACAAGUCCAGGGAGUGCCUUCCCCUGAUCCUCAUCAUCAGGAACAGGCUCAAGUAUGCUCUGAAUUACCGUGAGGUUAUUUCUAUCCUGAUGCAACGCCAUGUCUUGGUUGAUGGCAAGGUCAGGACUGACAAGACCUACCCUGCUGGGUUCAUGGGUAUGCUCUGAUCUUCCAACCUGCAGAAAGAUUCUUCCUACCUUUGCUAUGUAGUUACUGAUUUGUUGCAUUUGUUUUUUGGCAGAUGUCAUUUCCAUCCCCAAGACCAAUGAGAACUACAGGCUUCUGUAUGACACCAAGGGCCGCUUCCGUCUUCACCCCAUCAGGG